rnacentral:lncRNA from 1 species
UUUAACUCAGGAUUGGAAUGGAUGCGGAUAUCCGAAUUUUAUCUAAAUCCGAAUUUAAAUAGCAUGGAUUUAUUUAAUACUAAAUGGAUGGUUUCGGAUUUGAAUAUAAAAAAUAAAAAUUUUACAAAUUUGAAUUCGGGAAUGAAUUUUUUCCUCACUCGACUUGAGCCCAAAUUGAUUUAACAUUAUAUAAUAUAUGUGAAUGUUUGAUGUUAUAUUUUGAUUUGUAUUUUAAAAUUUUAGAUUUUAUUAUAAUAUAUUUUGAAAUAUGAUAAAAAGAAAUAAUUGCUUCAGGUUUGAGAUUUUGGGUUUGGAUUUGGAUUUCGGAUUUCAAAUUAUUGGCCGUGUUCGGGUAUGAAUUUAAAUUUUCAAAAUCUAUCAGGUUCGGGUUUGGAUUUUAGAUUCAGGUUUGAGAUUUGAAAAAUUCGUCUCGAAUCUGUCCCGUUGGUAUCCCUAGGUUUUACGAAUCUCUAGCAUAAAUAGACAAUUAUACCCUUCAUAAAUGAAGGGUUGAAAUGAGUACUAUCUACUUUGAAAUACAAGUACAGAAGGGCAACCCAAUUUAGUGAGAGUGUUUUCAGGUCACAUGUCCCUAACCCUAGCUCGUGUGAUGUCCUCUCAACUCAAAAUUCAUGUAUUACCUAAUCCUAAUUUUAGACAUAUGCAUAACUAUCAGAUAAACAUAUACAGAACUUAUUUGAAUUAUGAAUUAUUAUGAAUUGAUUGAUAUAUACAGAACAUAUUUGAACUAUGAAUUAUUUCGAGUUGGUUAUAUAUCUAAUUUUUUAAAUUUUUUUUGAUUUUUUUAUCUGAUCUUACAAUUUACUUGAUUUGAGCCAAUCAGCGAUACUUUGACUUCAAAAAUACGUCGCUUAUUUUUACAGAUUUUAUUAGAUAUUUCAUUCAAUUUUUGCAAUUAAAAAUUUAUUAAGGUACGUAAUUAGUUUAAAUUUUGAAGUCAAAAUAUCGUUGAUUGACUCAAAUUAAAAUAAAGUGAAAAGUUGGGUGCAUAACUGAUUCAAAAUAGUCCAUAGUUCAAUUUUUUUUUUGUUUUUGAGAGAAAGUCCAUAGUUCAGAAUU